rnacentral:rRNA from 1 species
AUGCAAGUCGAACGGUAACAGGAAGAAGCUUGCUUCUUUGCUGACGAGUGGCGGACGGGUGAGUAAUGUCUGGGAAACUGCCUGAUGGAGGGGGAUAACUACUGGAAACGGUAGCUAAUACCGCAUAACGUCGCAAGACCAAAAAGGGGGACCUUCGGGCCUCUUGCCAUCGGAUGUGCCCAGAUGGGAUUAGCUAGUAGGUGGGGUAACGGCUCACCUAGGCGACGAUCCCUAGCUGGUCUGAGAGGAUGACCAGCCACACUGGAACUGAGACACGGUCCAGACUCCUACGGGAGGCAGCAGUGGGGAAUAUUGCACAAUGGGCGCAAGCCUGAUGCAGCCAUGCCGCGUGUAUGAAGAAGGCCUUCGGGUUGUAAAGUACUUUCAGCGGGGAGGAAGGGAGUAAAGUUAAUACCUUUGCUCAUUGACGUUACCCGCAGAAGAAGCACCGGCUAACUCCGUGCCAGCAGCCGCGGUAAUACGGAGGGUGCAAGCGUUAAUCGGAAUUACUGGGCGUAAAGCGCACGCAGGCGGUUUGUUAAGUCAGAUGUGAAGUCCCCGGGCUCAACCUGGGAACUGCAUCUGAUACUGGCAAGCUUGAGUCUCGUAGAGGGGGGUAGAAUUCCAGGUGUAGCGGUGAAAUGCGUAGAGAUCUGGAGGAAUACCGGUGGCGAAGGCGGCCCCCUGGACGAAGACUGACG